CCUUUUCAAAUGCCUACAACAAUAGUUGGAUUUCAAAUUACAACCAAAUUGUAAAUUUAAAUUCAAAACAACAUUUAAAACUUAAUUAUAGAUCAAAUUCAAUUUUUUUAAAUAUAAAACACAAAUUUAAAAUAAAACUUUCAGUUCCAAUUCAAAAUUUCAAUUUAAAUCAAAAAUUAAAAUUUGGUUUUAAGAUUACAAGUUCAAUUUAUAUUCAAAUUAAAAGUUUAAUAUAAAUUUCAAAAUUAAAAUUUUGCAUUACAAUACCAACUUCAAAAAUUAAAUUUAAAUUCAAUAUUUUUUUGAGCUGGAUACUUAACAAAUUGGGUAUUAUCUAAUUUGGUAAGUUAUCAAAGAGAAUAAGAUAUUUGAUAUUUAUAGGAUGCUGACAAAUUUGGUAUAUACUACUAAUUUUCUUUCUAAUAUUGUCAUACUAACUAAUUCAAAUUGGUAACCUGCUCAGCAGGUUACUUCAUGUAAAACUCAAUUAUACCCUUUACUAAUUAAGAAUAAGAUUU
rnacentral:lncRNA from 1 species